UACGUAGGGGGCUAGCGUUGCUCGGAAUCACUGGGCGUAAAGGGUGCGUAGGCGGGUCUUUAAGUCAGGGGUGAAAUUCUGGAGCUCAACUCCAGAACUGCCUUUGAUACUGAAGAUCUUGAGUUCGGGAGAGGUGAGUGGAACUGCGAGUGUAGAGGUGAAAUUCGUAGAUAUUCGCAAGAACACCAGUGGCGAAGGCGGCUCACUGGCCCGAUACUGACGCUGAGGCACGAAAGCGUGGGGAGCAAACAGG
rnacentral:rRNA from 1 species